CCCACGUUUCUCUCCCCACUUUGCCUGGUUUCCUCCAGAAAAAAGAAACAAUUCAUCUACACCUCGGACUAGAUUCGUUUGGCAGCCGGAGAUUUGCAACAAAAAAGGGAGACGAAGAGGAUAGGGUGAAAUCGGCGGCACCGCCGCCGCCGCUACCGGGCACGAGCAUGGAGGCGGCCGGGAUGGUGUGGUGCCGCCGCCGCUACGGGACACAAGCACGGAGGCGGCUGGGAGUGUCGUGAGGGAGUUGGGAGAGGAACAGGGGGAGACGAUGGCGGCCUGAGGGUGCGGUGCUGGGCGCCAUGGGGUUCAUCAUCUCGCCGGCCUUGAGUGUCGCCGCUACGGGGCACGAGCAUGGAGGCGGCCGGGAUGGUGUGGUGCCGCCGCCGCUACGGGACACGAGCACGGAGGCGGCUGGGAUAGUGUGCUUAGGGAGUUGGGAGAGGAACAGGGGGAGACGAUGGCGGCCUGAGGGGGCGGCGCUGGGCGCCAUGGGGUUCAACAUCUCGCCGGCCUUGACUCGCGCACGUCUCGUUCCGCUCAGGGCACAUCCUGCCUCAGCAGCCACACCUGUCCCUCCAAGCACAGAGCUUGCUGCCCCCACCCCCGUACAAUGAAUGAGCAUGCCAAGGAGAGGAGCUCCCUGCGUAUGGGAGACCAGCCGCUCCCCAAUCUUCAGAUCUGACCAACGUGGGAGGAAUUGUUGGAGAACAACCAAAUCCAAAUGCCUCACCGAUGAGCACCAUCAUUACCUGAAGUUUGGAGAGUAUUACUAAUUGCUUUCUAUUCAUUAUUGCCUGAAGCGGGAGAACAAUUUAGUUAUUUCUCCGAAGUUUGCAAUGGAUCAACCUUGAAGACACUCGGAACAUUUACUUAGAGUGAAGACUCUCGCGGCGCAAUUGCCACUGUCCCGACCUCGCCGAUUGUUGACCUCGCUGGCUUGACAGCGUCCUUUGUGAUUCUGAACAUAGGUGCUACUCUCCUGGACACCGCCGACUCAGGUCCUACUCUCCUAGACGCCGCCAACUCAGGUGCCAUCUCCGUCCAAGAUUUCAUAAUAAUUUUUUAUGCAUCAAGACAUUCUUAUGUCUACAUGUAGCUUCUAUCAGGUUAUAUCUACAUGUAGCAUUGGAGAAUAUUAUGCUGAGUGGGCAAUAUCGGUGUUUGUCUGCACGCAUUAUUAUAUCCUCUUCUUAUCUCCCCCGCUUGUGCCACCGGAGAAUAUCAAGGAUGUGGCGUCGGCACUGAGCUGCCACUGGUAGGCAAGGGCAUGUGGCCUGGUUGUGAACGAUGAGAUUGGGGUCGGCACACACCAAAGCGACACACAUAGGCAGAGUUAUAUAAAAAAUAAGAAAUCCAUCUAAUUCUACUUGACAACCUUCCAACACGAGGUAACAUCAUUUGUGGCAUGGGUAUAUCUUAUAUCUACUAAAUAUCACUUCUAGAUAUUGGUGUUACGUACCAAGUGUAUACAUCUAUAUUGCCAAUGCUUCUGCGCUUUUGAUAAUUAGUCAAUAUUUUCAUGUAUUUGUUACAACAGUAUGGUGUUAGCAAGCGUAUUGUCUUAUGAAAAAUUGAUGAUUGCAUCUGCACUUCGUAUCUAAUUGUGUUAUUUCAGAGCUAAUAUUUUUACUAAUUAUUCUAUUCUUUCCACUUCUUGUAUAAACAGACCAGGACCAGUAUUCUGAACCUCAUACCAUUAAGGGCAUAUCUGUAUUCUAAAGAAAAUUCAUACACCUGGUAAUUCUUUCUUGACAUGGCUAUUCCAUCGAGGUUUAAUCCUAUGAUACACAACUAAUAGUUUGUUGGUAUGCAUAACUAUCUUGCCAAAGGUAUUGCCUGUGUAUAUCACUUUGUAGUUGAAAGUGUUUGCUGCAAUCAUUAUGAGCAUCAUGUUUGCCUUUUUGUGGAAACAUAGUGUAGAACUCUUCUUGCUACUAUCGUCAACUCUCAACGAGUCAGUGAUGGACAAGAUUAUUAUUCAUGUAUUUGAACAAUUGAUUCAGGGUCUAUUCAUAGAUGCGUUAAUUUGUUUUUGUAUGACUCCUUUGUUCCAUCAAUGUUUUUUACAUCCAAAUGAACUACACUAUUCUUAUACAAUCAAAUUAGAAUAUUUUGAUUUUUUAUGAUCACUUAAAUAAAUGAAUAUCCACGGUUAUUAGGGAGGGAUGGAGAGGGAGAGCGAGAUGGAGAGAUAGAGAGAGAGCACAUUUAAUAUUUGACAGCUUCCCUUACUAAAUCACCUCUCUGAUGGAGCUGCAGUUUUGCAUGUUUAAAAUGAAUGAGUAUGUAAAGAUUAGCGACAUUUUCUUAAAUGCACCUGAAAUAUUUGCAUAAAAUGCUUUCCUAGGGCUGGUCAACUCUUUUUAUUUCUGUCAUAGUACACAUGUCUAACACCACAAAUUGCCAUAUGGUUUUCAAUGGUACAUGAGCUGUGAGUUGCCCUAUUAUUUUAAGAGUUCAUAAGUUGGGUUGACUGUGAGACUCUAAAUACAUGAUACAUGGUCUUGUACAAUUUAUAUUACUGUCCAUCGAAGUGUUUUAUACUCGUUAUUAAAGUUGCAGGUUAUUCCUUUGAAUGAUCUAAGAAAUAUAUUUGGAUUAGGGAAGCAUGAAGCACAAGGAAUCACCUCAGAUAUUGAAUCUCCAGCAUACAGAAAUAAGCUUAUAAAAUCCUUUAGUACUGAUUUGGCUGCUACUCCUAACAAAGUAUCAUUCCUCCAAAAUCUCUGUCAGGAGUUACAGUUUGAUCCUGAACUUGCUAGCAAGAUGCAUAAAGAUACCAAGCUGACACUUGUUUUUUGUAUUGCAUCAUUAAUUUUACAGCAUAGUUCUAUGUUAGCUCGAAAUUUGAUCUUGCUCCUGCUAGCAAGAUGUGUACCAUAUUAGCUACAGUUUGAAGGAUAUAAUCCUUUUGUUUCAAGACUGAUGGUUAAACAUUCCUCCAGUGUGAAAGUUAUUAUUUUCUGUUCAAAUAUCUUCGUUACAUUCCUUCGGUGUGAAAGUUAUUAGUUUCAGUUUGAAGGAUAUAAUUUUA